rnacentral:rRNA from 1 species
AUGAACGCUGGCGGCGUGCCUCAUACAUGCCAGUCGAGCGAACAGAUGAGGAGCUUGCUCCUCUGACGUUAGCGGCGGACGGGUGAGUAACACGUGGAUAACCUACCUAUAAGACUGGGAUAACUUCGGGAAACCGGAGCUAAUACCGGAUAAUAUAUUGAACCGCAUGGUUCAAUAGUGAAAGACGGUUUUGCUGUCACUUAUAGAUGGAUCCGCGCCGCAUUAGCUAGUUGGUAAGGUAACGGCUUACCAAGGCGACGAUGCGUAGCCGACCUGAGAGGGUGAUCGGCCACACUGGAGCUGAGACACGGUCCAGACUCCUACGGGAGGCAGCAGUAGGGAAUCUUCCGCAAUGGGCGAAAGCCUGACGGAGCAACGCCGCGUGAGUGAUGAAGGUCUUCGGAUCGUAAAACUCUGUUAUUAGGGAAGAACAAAUGUGUAAGUAACUAUGCACGUCUUGACGGUACCGAAUCAGAAAGCCACGGCUAACUACGU